GCCGAGAUCAGUUUCUUCUUCAACUACAUCUUUUAUUGGCUCUGCCUCUGGUUCCAGAUCCAUGACUCCUAGCCGGAACCGAACUGAUUUAGCUUAUUCACGACCUCACGGGAAUCGUUCGCCGGUUAAUUAUCCUUCAGCUGAGGAAUUGUUGGUUAAUGAGCCGGUGGAUAUGUCCAGAUCGGGAGAGAGUAUUUCUGUGACUGUUAGGUUUCGGCCAAUGAGUGAAAGAGAAUAUCAGAAAGGCGAUGAAAGUGCUUGGUAUGCAGAUGGUGAUAAAAUUGUGCGGAAUGAGUAUAAUCCUGCAACAGCUUAUGCCUUUGAUAGAGUAUUUGGACCUGAUACAAGUACCCAGGAUGUUUAUGAAGUAGCUGCCCGACCCGUUGUGAAGGCUGCAAUGGAAGGCAUUAACGGCACAGUUUUCGCCUAUGGUGUUACAAGUAG
rnacentral:misc_RNA from 1 species